AAUCAACGCUGGCGGCGUGCCUAACACAUGCAAGUCGAACGCGAAAGCCCGCAAGGGUAAGUAGAGUGGCGCACGGGUGAGUAACACGUGGACAACCUGCCUUCGAGUGGGGAAUAACCUUCCGAAAGGAGGGCUAAUACCGCAUAACACCUCGGGACACAAGUUCUGGGGUUGAAAAGAGCAAUUUGCUCGAAGAGGGGUCCGCGCCUGAUUAGCUAGUUGGUGAGGUAACGGCUCACCAAGGCUUCGAUCAGUAGCCGUCCUGAGAGGGAGCACGGCCACACUGGAACUGAGACACGGUCCAGACUCCUACGGGAGGCAGCAGUGGGGAAUUUUGGCAAUGGGCGAAAGCCUGACCAAGCAACGCCGCGUGGGUGAUGAAGUAUC
rnacentral:rRNA from 1 species